UUUUGGACGUGCAAUGUAUACAUACAUACAUAUAUAUUUUUUUACAUAUAUGAGUGUGUAUAUGCAAAUAUGUGUUUUUUAAGGGAACAUUGUCUAAAUAACAGGAAGCUGUCAUCUCUUGCCAAGCCCUAAUUUAAUUACUAGGCUCUUAUGAGGAAGUAAGUAAAAAGUUCAGCUUUCAGAGAAUGAAAUAUCAGGAGUUCCUGUUGUGGCACAGCGAAAAUGAAUCCGACUAGGAACCAUGAGGAUGCAAGUUCGAUCCCUGGCCUCGCUCAUGGGUUAAGGAUCCAGUGUUGCUGUGAGCUGUGGUGUAGACCGGCCGCUGCAGCUCCGAUUGGACCCCUCACCUGGAAACCUCCAUAUGCCUUGGGUGUGGCCCUGAAAACAAACAAAAAAAACUCCAAACAAAAAAAACAGAAAAUGUAUACAGUGCUGCAUAAGUCAACUAUAUCUCAAUAAAACUGGAAGAACACCCAGCCCCUGCCCGCCACAUAGGAAUUGCACAGCCGGGGACACUUGUCUCCCUCAGCUCCCAACCCCAGUGCGGGGAUGACCGUGGGGCUCCUUUUUCCCUGGUGGAGGUGAGGCGUCUAGGAGGGGCCCGUAAGUGCUGACUCAUGUAGGUGGUGAGCGCCCCGCCCGAGCCCUCAACAAGGCUGGCCCUGCCCCGCGGAGCUGAACCGCCUCCCAGGGAAAGUGAGGUCAAGGAACCAAAGCAAAGUGACUUCAGGAAUGCAGGAGCCAAGCAGUGUCUGCGACCUACACCACAGCUCACAGCAACGCUGGAGCCUUAACCCACUGAGCGAGGCCAGGGAUCGAACUCAAGACCUCAUGUUUCCUAGUGGGAUUCGUUUCUACUGCACCACCACGGGAACUCCAGGAAUAGGUUCUUCUUGAGGUUAACAGCCCACAUCAAAAGGCUCCACCUGGGAGUUCCUGUCGUGGCUCAGUGGUUAACGAAUCUGACUGGGAACCAUGAGGUUGCGAGUUGGAUCCCUGGCCUUGCUCAGUGGGUUAAGGAUCCGGCGUUACCGUGAGCUGACCUACACUAGUAGGUCACAGAUGUGGCUCGGAUCCUGUGUUGCUGUGGCUGUGGCGUAGGCUGGCAGCUACAGCUCUGAUUCGACCCCUAGCCUGGGAACCUCCAUAUGCUGCGGGAGUGGCCCUAGAAAAGGCAAAAAGACAAAGACAACCGCUCCACCUGUUUGAGGAGAGGAGGGACGUGUUGGGGGGGAACUUCCUGCUUAACCAUUUCCUGUCCACUUCUGGGUGAGCUGUAUGUAAACUAAUUACACAGUUUUAACUGAAAGGACUGGAGCAAAGUGGGGAGCUGCUCCCUGGACUUAAGGAUGUGAAGCUGCCAGGCUGAUGGCCCCCGUCUAUGUCUGAGCCCAGUAACAAUCAAUUUGCUACCAAUACUCACCAGAUUUUUUUGUUUUCUUUUUAUGGCCAGACCUGCCACAAUGGGAACUCCAAAACAGCUUUUUAAAGAGCUAACAUUUAAUCUAAGAAGAGACACUUUUUUUAGCAAAUGCUAGUACCCUUCCAACAAUGAAAAGGUGGAUUUCAAAGACAUUCUCCUUUCUGCACAGCAAAGGAAACCCUAAACAACACAAAAAGACAACCCACAGAGUGGGAGAAAAUAUUUGCAAAUGAAUCGACUGACAAGGGAUGAAUCGCCAAAAUUUAUAAAAACCUCCUACUGCUCAACACCAAAAAAAACCAAAGAACCCCAUCAAAAAAUGGGCAGAAGAUCUAAACAGACAAUUCUCCAAAGACAUGCAGAUGGCCAAAAAACACAUGAAAAGAUGUUCAACAUCACUCAUGAUUAGAGAAAUGCAAAUCAAAACCACGAUGAGAUACCACCUUACAGCAGCCAGAAUGGCCAUCAUCAAAAAGUCUACAAAGUGCUGGAGAGGGUGUGGAGAAAAAGGAACCCUAUGACACUGUUGGUGGGGUUGUAAAUUGGUGCAACCACUGUGGAAAGCAGUAGGGAGAUUCCUCAGAAAACUAAACAUGGAACUACCAUUUGAUCCAGCAAUCCCACUCCUGGGCAUCUAUCCAGAGAAAACCAGGACUCGCAGACACAUGUACUCCAGUGUUCACUGCAGCACUAUUUGCAAUAGCCAAGACAGGGAAACCACCUCAAUGUCCAUGGACAGAGGAGUGGCUCAAAAAGAUGUGGUCCAUACACACUAUGGAAUAUUACUCGGCCAUUAAAAAGAACGAAAUACCGGCCUUUUUAGCCAGAUGGAUUCACCUAGAAAUUAUCAUGCUAAGUGAAGUCAGCCAUACAAUGAGACACCAACAUCAAAUGCUUUCACUGACAUGUGGAAUCUGAAAAAAGGACACAAUGAACUUCUUUGCAGAACAGACACUGACUCACAGACUUUGAAAAACGUAUGGUUUCCAAAGGAGACAGUUUGGGAGUGGAGGGAUGUGCUGGGGUGAGGGAUGGAAAUCCUAUAAAAUUAAGUUGUGAUGAUCAUUGUACACCUAUAAAUGUAACAAACUCAUUGAGUAAUAAAAAAUAAUAAUAAUUUAAAAAAAAAAACAGAAAAUGCCAAGUAAAAUAAAUAUCCAGCUUCUCGUCUGGGGGAGAAAAAAAAGACGUCCUCCUGCUCAUUAAAUGGGAGAAAGUCUGGGCUUUUGACCCCAGCUCCUCCAUGAAUCUCUUUAUUGUUGGGGGCCAAGGCUG
rnacentral:lncRNA from 1 species